GGAAGCAUGGCUGAGUGGUCGAAAGCAGCACAUUGCUAACGUGUCAGACGGGUGACUGUCUCGGAGGUUCGAAUCCUCCUGUUUCCG
rnacentral:tRNA from 1 species